ensembl:miRNA MIR3974 microRNA 3974
GUUCAGGGAAAAGGUCAUUGUAAGGUUAAUGCACCCAUAUUUUAAUAUCAAACUAUGACAAAUUUGACUACAGCCUUUCCGUACCCCUGCCAAAAC